rnacentral:rRNA from 1 species
ACCUGAAACCGUGUACGUACAAGCAGUGGGAGCCUCUUAAUGGGGUGACUGCGUACCUUUUGUAUAAUGGGUCAGCGACUUAUAUUCUGUAGCAAGGUUAACCGAAUAGGGGAGCCGAAGGGAAACCGAGUCUUAACUGGGCGUUAAGUUGCAGGGUAUAGACCCGAAACCCGGUGAUCUAGCCAUGGGCAGGUUGAAGGUUGGGUAACACUAACUGGAGGACCGAACCGACUAAUGUUGAAAAAUUAGCGGAUGACUUGUGGCUGGGGGUGAAAGGCCAAUCAAACCGGGAGAUAGCUGGUUCUCCCCGAAAGCUAUUUAGGUAGCGCCUCGUGAAUUCAUCUCCGGGGGUAGAGCACUGUUUCGGCAAGGGGGUCAUCCCGACUUACCAACCCGAUGCAAACUGCGAAUACCGGAGAAUGUUAUCACGGGAGACACACGGCGGGUGCUAACGUCCGUCGUGAAGAGGGAAACAACCCAGACCGCCAGCUAAGGUCCCAAAGUCAUGGUUAAGUGGGAAACGAUGUGGGAAGGCCCAGACAGCCAGGAUGUUGGCUUAGAAGCAGCCAUCAUUUAAAGAAAGCGUAAUAGCUCACUGGUCGAGUCGGCCUGCGCGGAAGAUGUAACGGGGCUAAACCAUGCACCGAAGCUGCGGCAGCGACACUAUGUGUUGUUGGGUAGGGGAGCGUUCUGUAAGCCUGUGAAGGUGGCCUGUGAGGGUUGCUGGAGGUAUCAGAAGUGCGAAUGCUGACAUAAGUAACGAUAAAGCGGGUGAAAAGCCCGCUCGCCGGAAGACCAAGGGUUCCUGUCCAACGUUAAUCGGGGCAGGGUGAGUCGACCCCUAAGGCGAGGCCGAAAGGCGUAGUCGAUGGGAAACAGGUUAAUAUUCCUGUACUUGGUGUUACUGCGAAGGGGGGACGGAGAAGGCUAUGUUGGCCGGGCGACGGUUGUCCCGGUUUAAGCGUGUAGGCUGGUUUUCCAGGCAAAUCCGGAAAAUCAAGGCUGAGGCGUGAUGACGAGGCACUACGGUGCUGAAGCGACAAAUGCCCUGCUUCCAGGAAAAGCCUCUAAGCAUCAGGUAACAUCAAAUCGUACCCCAAACCGACACAGGUGGUCAGGUAGAGAAUACCAAGGCGCUUGAGAGAACUCGGGUGAAGGAACUAGGCAAAAUGGUGCCGUAACUUCGGGAGAAGGCACGCUGAUAUGUAGGUGAAGCGACUUGCUCGUGGAGCUGAAAUCAGUCGAAGAUACCAGCUGGCUGCAACUGUUUAUUAAAAACACAGCACUGUGCAAACACGAAAGUGGACGUAUACGGUGUGACGCCUGCCCGGUGCCGGAAGGUUAAUUGAUGGGGUUAGCGGUAACGCGAAGCUCUUGAUCGAAGCCCCGGUAAACGGCGGCCGUAACUAUAACGGUCCUAAGGUAGCGAAAUUCCUUGUCGGGUAAGUUCCGACCUGCACGAAUGGCGUAAUGAUGGCCAGGCUGUCUCCACCCGAGACUCAGUGAAAUUGAACUCGCUGUGAAGAUGCAGUGUACCCGCGGCAAGACGGAAAGACCCCGUGAACCUUUACUAUAGCUUGACACUGAACAUUGAGCCUUGAUGUGUAGGAUAGGUGGGAGGCUUUGAAGUGUGGACGCCAGUCUGCAUGGAGCCGACCUUGAAAUACCACCCUUUAAUGUUUGAUGUUCUAACGUGGGCCCCUUACCGGGGUUGCGGACAGUGUCUGGUGGGUAGUUUGACUGGGGCGGUCUCCUCCUAAAGAG